rnacentral:sRNA from 1 species
GCUGGGCAUGGUGGUGCAAGCCUGUAAUCUCAGCAGCUCAGGAGGCUGAGGCAGGAGGAUCUCAAGUUCAAAGCCAGCCUUACCAACUUAGCAAGGACUUAAGCAACUUAGUGAGAUCCCAUCUCAA